rnacentral:rRNA from 1 species
GAUCCUGGCUCAGGAUGAACGCUAGCUACAGGCUUAACACAUGCAAGUCGAGGGGCAGCAUUUUAGUUUGCUUGCAAACUGAAGAUGGCGACCGGCGCACGGGUGAGUAACACGUAUCCAACCUGCCGAUAACUCCGGAAUAGCCUUUCGAAAGAAAGAUUAAUACCGGAUGGCAUACGAAUAUCGCAUGAUAUUUUUAUUAAAGAAUUUCGGUUAUCGAUGGGGAUGCGUUCCAUUAGUUUUGG